CGAACGGGUGAGUAACACGUGGGUAAUCUACCCCGAUGACCGGGACAACCCGAGGAAACUCGGGCUAAUACCGGAUGUGGUGCACAGGCAUAAGCCUGUUCACUAAAGGUAGCUUCGGCUUCCGCAUUGGGAGGGGCCCGCGGCCCAUUAGCUUGUUGGUGGGGUCAAGGCCUACCAAGGCAACGAUGGGUAGCUGGUCUGAGAGGACGAUCAGCCACACUGGGACUGAGACACGGCCCAG
rnacentral:rRNA from 1 species